rnacentral:rRNA from 1 species
CCAAGGUUAGUGGCAAACGGGUGAGUAAUACAUAUCUAACAUGCCCCUCUGUGGGGGAUAGCCGCUUGAAAAAGCGAUUAAUACCCCAUAGGAAGCUUUAUCCAUGAUUUAGCUUUUAAAGCCUUCGGGCGCUGAGGGAUUGGGAUAUGCUCUAUUAGCUAGUUGGCGGGAUAAAAGCCCACCAAGGCAAUGAUAGAUAGCUGGUCUUAGAGGAUGAACAGCCACAAUGGGAUUGAGAUACGGCCCAUAUUCCUACGGGAAGCAGCAGUAGGGAAUCUUCCACAAUGGACGAAAGUCUGAUGGAGCAAUACCAUGUGAACGAUGAAGGCCUUUUUGGUUGUAAAGUUCUUUUACGAGGGAUAAUUAUGAUAGUACUUCGUGAAUAAGUGACAGCAAACUAUGUGCCAGCAGCUGCGGUAAUACAUAGGUCGCAAGCAUUAUUCGGAUUUAUUGGGCGUAAAGCAAGCGCAGGCGGAUGUGUAAGUUCUGUGUUAAAUGCAGCUACUCAAUAGUUGUAUGCACCGAAUACUACAUGUCUAGAUUGUGGUAGGGAGUUUCGGAAUUAAGCAUGGAGCGGUGGAAUGUGUAGAUAUGCUUAAGAACACCAGAGGCGAAGGCGGAAACUUAGGCCAUAAAUGACGCUUAGGCUUGAAAGUGUGGGGAGCAAAUGGGAUUAGAUACCCCAGUAGUCCACACCGUAAACGAUGGGUAUUAGAUAUUAGGGCUUUAGCUUUAGUGUUGUAGCUUACGCGUUAAAUACCCCGCCUGGGUAGUACAUAUGCAAAUAUGAAACUCAAAGGAAUUGACGGGGACCUGAACAAGUGGUGGAGCAUGUUGCUUAAUUCGAUAAUACACGAAAAACCUUACCAAGGUUUGACAUCCCUCGCAAAGCUAUAGAAAUAUAGUAGAGGUUAUCGAGGUGACAGGUGGUGCAUGGCUGUCGUCAGCUCGUGUCUUGAGAUGUUUGGUUAAGUCCCGCAACGAGCGCAACCCCACUCUUUAGUUACUUGUCUAAAGAGACUGCACAGUAAUGUAGAGGAAGGAUGGGAUCACGUCAAGUCAUCAUGCCCCUUAUGCCUUGGGCUGCAAACGUGCUACAAUGGCGAACACAAUGUGUUGCAAACCAGCGAUGGUAAGCUAAUCACCAAAUUUCGUCUCAGUUCGGAUAGGAGG